rnacentral:rRNA from 1 species
GGGAGGGCGCUUACCACUUUGUGAUUCAUGACUGGGGUGAAGUCGUAACAAGGUAACCGUAGGGGAACCUGCGGUUGGAUCACCUCCUUACCUGAAAGAA